rnacentral:rRNA from 1 species
CAGCCGCCGCGGGAAUACGUAGGUGGCAAGCGUUGUCCGGAAUUAUUGAGCGUAAAGGGCUCGCAGGCGGUUUCUUAAGUCUGAUGUGAAAGCCCCCGGCUCAACCGGGGAGGGUCAUUGGAAGCUGGGAAACUUGAGUGCAGAAGAGGAGAGUGGAAUUCCACGUGUAGCGGUGAAACGCGUAGAGAUGUGGAGGAACACCAGUGGCGAAGGCGACUCUCUGGUCUGUAACUGACGCUGAGGAGCGAAAGCGUGGGGAGCGAACAGGAUUAGAUACCCCCGUAGUCCCUGUCUCUUAUAA